rnacentral:rRNA from 1 species
AUUGAACGCUGGCGGCAGGCCUAACACAUGCAAGUCGAACGAGUGGCGGACGGGUGAGUAAUGUCUGGGAAACUGCCUGAUGGAGGGGGAUAACUACUGGAAACGGUAGCUAAUACCGCAUACCAUCAGAUGUGCCCAGAUGGGAUUAGCUAGUAGGUGGGGUAACGGCUCACCUAGGCGACGAUCCCUAGCUGGUCUGAGAGGAUGACCAGCCACACUGGAACUGAGACACGGCCCAGACUCCUACGGGAGGCAGCAGUGGGGAAUAUUGCACAAUGGGCGCAAGCCUGAUGCAGCCAUGCCGCGUGAGUGAAGAAGGCCUUCGGGUUGUAAAGCACUUUCGGCGGAGAAGCGUUACCCGCAGAAGAAGCACCGGCUAACUCCGUGCCAGCAGCCGCGGUAAUUC